UAUAAAGCAAAAGAUAAUACAUACAUACAAAAAUACAUACUUUAUAAAAUCUCUAUGAAGAAGAGGAGGACAAAUAGUAGCUUUUCAGUUUCUGUUUAAAAGUAGCAACAGUUUGACAGCUCCUUAAUUCAGGCGGCAGCGAAUUCCACAACCGUACUGCGUUUACUGUGAAGGAGAAGGAAUAAAAGUCAGUGGAAUGGGAGGGGAUUUUAAGGAGAGAUUUGAGAUGCGUUCUACAGAGCGCAUCAGGCGAGCGAACAAAUGAAAAGCGUUCUCGCAGAUAGGAAGGACUUUUGGGAUUAAAAAGGAUAUUAAAAAGAAGACACAAAAUGCGAGUGUUCCUGCGAAGACGAAUAGGGAGCCACUUGAGUUCUUUGCGAAAAUGAGAAACAUGAUCAUAUUUUUUGAGAUUGAAAACAAAACGAAUACAUAAAUUUUGCAACCGCUCAAGCUUAUUUAAGAGCUCCUCUGUGGCAUCCAAAUAACAGGCAUCAGCGUAGUCUAUGAUGGGUUGAAUGAGAGUCUGAGCAAGAGAGAUUUUGGUUUUCAAGGGCAAAAAGUACUGGAGGCAUUUCAGAGUGUGAAAGGUGAAGUGCACCUUGCGACUGACUUCAUUGACCUGCGCAGACCAUGAUAAAUGGGAGUCCAUGAUGACACCCAAAUUUUUAGCCGUUUCUGCAUAGCUCAGUUGAACCCCACCUAAACAAAGAGGAGGCAACGACGCAACAUCAAGCCUACCACGCAAGUUUCUACCGCCAAUGAUCAUGGCCUGAGACUUCUUGGGAUUGAUCUGUAGCCCAAAGGACUGCGCCCAGCCCUCGAUCAUAAUCAGGUCCUGAUUCAUAGCGGCAACGGCAGAUUCCGCAUCGCUUAACGAGAAAUGUCUGUAGAGUUGCAAGUCGUCCGCAUAGAGAUGGAAGUUGGAAGAAAUGACCUUAGUGACAGAGUCAAUGAAAACAGAGAACAGGAGAGGAGAGAGAACGCCACCUUGAGGUACGCCCGCAGAAAGGUUGCACCAAUUGGAGGAUAAGUUAUUAAGCCGGACACACUGCGUACGGCCUCUAAGAUAGGAGUCAAACCAAUUUAACGUGGAAGAAGAAAUAUUAAUAGAUUUAAGGAUGCCAAGAAGAAUGUCGAAAUCGACAGAAUUAAAUGCACUGCUGAAGUCAAGGAGAACCAGUAACGUCAGGGAUUUAUUUUCCAUCGCAAGACGGAUGUCGUCAGUAACCUUCAACAGUGCAGUUACAGUGCUGUGACCGGGACGAAAACCAGAUUGUAAAGGGUGGAAAAGGUUAUUGCGGCUAAGGAAAGAAGAAAGCUGAGAAUGCACCAGGUGCUCCAGAACUUUAGACAGGUAAGGAAGGAUGGAAAUGGGUCUAUAAUCAGACAAAGCAGCUGGAUUGGAAAUUUUGGGUAAAGGAAUAACGAUGGCUUCUUUCCAGGAAUUAGGAAAAGAACAAGAGAACAGGGAGAAAUUUAGGAUAUGUGUCAAGACAGGGAGGACAGUCGGUAGCGUUAAGAACACCAUUCUAGAGCAAAUGUUAUCAUUACCGACUGCACUAGAGGAUAUGGCAAGGAUAGACUUUUUGACAUCGUCUUCAGUCACAGCACUCAGUUCGAACAAAGAGCACUGAGGCAACGGCAAACUAGCAAGCCCACUCAAUGUACGGGCACGGACGUGUGGGUCCAAACGUACGGGGGGAGAGGAGAAGUAGUUAUUAAGGGCACCCACGUCAGUGUCCCCACCAGCAGCGCAAGCAGCCUUACCGAUGCCAAUAGUUUUGAGAAAUUUCCAUACCUCAGAAGAGUUACGGUUAUCGAGAGAGUUGUGGAAGUAGCGUCUCUUUGCAUCUCUACACAUUCGACUGCAACGGUUACGCAAUGUCUUGUAGGUAAUGAGGUUGCGUUCAGACGGACUGCGCUUCCACCUACGCUUGGCUCUGUCUCGACUGGCCAUCACCUCCCUUAUAGCAGGAGUGAGCCACGGAGCAGGAGCAUACUUAACUUUGACACGGCGGAGUGGAGCAUGAAUGUCAAAAAGUUGCAAUAACUUACAAUUAAAUAAACUCACCAUUUCAUUAACGCAGGUACUCAUGAAUAUGCUAGACCAGUCAAUGCAAUCAGCAUCACGCUUCAAUGCCUCCAGAUCAAUGCCCUUGUAAUUCCGAAGAUACAGGUAUUGAGGCUUACGCUUAGGAGGACGAAUCCGAUAGGAUAAAAAGAUUAGAUCGUGAUAGGAAAAAGAUGCUGAAAUCUGACCAUGAGAGGAUACAUUACUUGUCUUAGAUACUACUAUUAGAUCCAGGAGAGAAGGAGUGCAGUUGGGAAAAUGAUGAGUAGCAGACAGAGGUAAGAGACUGAGAUUGAAAGAAGAAAGGAGCGAUUGAAGUUUAAGAGCUCGCCUGUCAUUCUUUAAUAAACAAGUAUUAAAGUCACCCAUCAAGACCACGUGUUCGUAAAGGGGGGAAAAAUCAUGCAGGAGCGUGUCCAGUGAGCCAAAGUAAUCAAUGCUCAGGUUGGGGCUAUAAAAUACACCCAGGAGUACCUUAGUGUGAUUAAGAAGGACUUCGAGAAAUAGGUGCUCUGCCGAUUCCGAGUACACUGACGGCGAAGCACUGAUGAUCUUAAAAGGUAUUCCAGCCCUCAAAUAAAUAGCAACACCACCACCCCCCUUCCCAGUUCUAUCAUUACGGAUAAGGACAAAGCCAGGCAGGGCAUAGUGGGUAGACAAGAGAGAGGGCUUAAGAAAAGACUCGGAUAUCAACAGAGCAUCAAGAUGAGCACUGUUAAUGGACGCCAGAAGAUCGGAGUAAUGGCCAGGAACACUUUGAGCAUUUAUAUGGGCAAUGUUGAAAUUGUGGGGAUUAUGGGAAAAAAGUGUGGAGAUCUGAUCGCCAAGGGUCAGGGGAGCACCGGAACCGCUACCCGCACUGAGGAAACUAUCAGAUGAUGAGGUACAUGAAAAGAAACUAUCAUCUAAACUGAUACAACUCAUAGAGGUUACAAAACAAAAAUAAUGAAAUAAUAAAAAAUACAAACACAAAACAACCAAACAAUAACAAUUUUUAAAUACAAGAAUAUCUCGGAUAUUCUAACUCACCCAGUCACAGUUGCGUGGAGAGAUACUACAAGAAUUAAAAUUAAAUAGACAACAUAUUAUUAACAUACAAAAAAAAAACAACGGAUACAAAAACUUAGUUUAACAACGCACACAAUGAGAAUAUCUGCAAGAACAAAACAAGUUGACAUGACGUUGACAAGCCACGAUACUUGUCAACGUCAAAACAAAAGUGAAAACAAAUAUUAUUUUAAUAAUACCGACACGACAAAGAACAAAUUAACAAAUAGCUAUAAAUAUAGCAGUUACUUCCGAGCCUUCCGCAACACCUUCGUUUUCUUGGCCACCUCAGACUUGGAAGAAGAGGUCGCAGCAUUCGGAGACGAACUCGGAUUAGCCGUGAUAUCCUUACCAGCGCUAGUCGGGUACAGGGCAAUAAGACCAGCAGCUGGUGAUCCCAAAAUGUUUGCGGGCGGCUAGGAAAACUUGAUGUCGAGUCUUGGUUAAAAAUUCGGAAAUGGUGAUGCCAGUACCUUUUAACAACGUUUUGCUGUCCCAAACUGCACGACGAUAAUCCAUGCCCCUAAAGCGCACCAGCACGGGUCUUGUUUUUCCCGGUGAAGCACCCAACCUGUGACACACUUCAAACAUCUCAAGCCGUGCAUCAUCAAUCUUCAACUGCUUAACGAUGAUAUCAAGAAUGGUGCCACUGAGAUUCUCAUUCUUGCUUUCUGGAACACCGUGAAACAGCAGCAGCUUCCGUCUCAUGAAGGUUUCAUGGCUAUCCACUGCCUGAGAGAGGAGCCCAACUUGCGUUUUCAGAUGAGUCAACGUUUUGAUGACAAAUCCUUUGAACUCCAAAAAUUCAUCUGACAGUGAGGCCAGACUGGAGUGGGCAGGAGCAGUGCCAGCUGUAGCUUUCUGCAGCUUAUCUUCAUAGGCACACAUACGCGAACUGAACAAUUUCUCCAACUCAUCAAUACUGUGCACAAGUUUGCUGUCCAUUGUGUGUUGUGAUAUUAUUGUUCUUGAGUAAUUAUAAGGAUAGUUUAUUAAGGAAAAGUGAGUGACGGUAAGCUAUGAGCCAAAUUAAUGCAUUAAAUACAUAAAAUUAAA